rnacentral:rRNA from 1 species
UGCAGUCGAGCGGUGAGCCAAGCUUGCUUGGUGGAUCAGUGGCGAACGGGUGAGUAACACGUGAGCAACCUGCCCUGGACUCUGGGAUAAGCGCUGGAAACGGCGUCUAAUACUGGAUAUGAGCCUCUAUCGCAUGGUGGGGGUUGGAAAGAUUUUUUGGUCUGGGAUGGGCUCGCGGCCUAUCAGCUUGUUGGUGAGGUAAUGGCUCACCAAGGCGUCGACGGGUAGCCGGCCUGAGAGGGUGACCGGCCACACUGGGACUGAGACACGGCCCAGACUCCUACGGGAGGCAGCAGUGGGGAAUAUUGCACAAUGGGCGAAAGCCUGAUGCAGCAACGCCGCGUGAGGGAUGACGGCCUUCGGGUUGUAAACCUCUUUUAGCAGGGAAGAAGCGAAAGUGACGGUACCUGCAGAAAAAGCGCCGGCUAACUACGUGCCAGCAGCCGCGGUAAUACGUAGGGCGCAAGCGUUAUCCGGAAUUAUUGGGCGUAAAGAGCUCGUAGGCGGUUUGUCGCGUCUGCUGUGAAAUCCCGAGGCUCAACCUCGGGCCUGCAGUGGGUACGGACUCUGCAGACUAGAGUGCGGUAGGGGAGAUUGGAAUUCCUGGUGUAGCGGUGGAAUGCGCAGAUAUCAGGAGGAACACCGAUGGCCGAAGGCAGAUCUCUGGGAUUCCRUAACUGACGCUGAGGAGCGAAAGGGUGGGGAGCAAACAGGCUUAGAUACCCUGGUAGUCCACCCCGUAAACGUUGGCCCCUACGUAUUACCGCGGCUGCUGACACGACCGUGCUCGAUUGAACUAGUUGUGGGGACCAUUCCACGGUUUCCGUGACGCAGCUAACGCAUUAAGUUCCCCGCCUGGGGAGUACGGCCGCAAGGCUAAAACUCAAAGGAAUUGACGGGGACCCGCACAAGCGGCGGAGCAUGCGGAUUAAUUCGAUGCAACGCGAAGAACCUUACCAAGGCUUGACAUAUACGAGAACGGGCCAGAAAUGGUCAACUCUUUGGACACUCGUAAACAGGUGGUGCAUGGUUGUCGUCAGCUCGUGUCGUGAGAUGUUGGGUUAAGUCCCGCAACGAGCGAAACCCUCGUUCUAUGUUGCCAGCACGUAAUGGUGGGAACUCAUGGGAUACUGCCGGGGUCAACUCGGAGGAAGGUGGGGAUGACGUCAAAUCAUCAUGCCCCUUAUGUCUUGGGCUUCACGCAUGCUACAAUGGCCGGUACAAAGGGCUGCAAUACCGUGAGGUGGAGCGAAUCCCAAAAAGCCGGUCCCAGUUCGGAUUGAGGUCUGCAACUCGACCUCAUGAAGUGGGAGUCUUUAGUAAUCGCAGAUCAGCAACGCUGCGGUGAAUACGUUCUCGGGUCUUUACACACCGCCCGUCAAGUCAUGAAACUCGUAGUACCGUUAGUCGGUGCUCAAUACGUUGUA